UACGUAGGGGGCAAGCGUUGUCCGGAAUCAUUGGGCGUAAAGCGAGCGUAGGCGGCCCGAUAAGUCUGCUGUGAAAGUCAACGGCUCAACCGUUGAAAGCCGGUGGAUACUGUCGGGCUAGAGUUCGGCAGAGGGAAGCGGAAUUUCCGGUGUAGCGGUGAAAUGCGCAGAUAUCGGGAGGAACACCGGUGGCGAAGGCGGUUCUCUGGGCCUGUGCUGACGCUGAGGAGCGAAAGCGUGGGGAGCAAACAGG
rnacentral:rRNA from 1 species